AAAAAUGAUGAAUAAGCAUCAGCAACACCACCCACCACCUUCAUUUCCAAAGCACUUCCUCAAUGCCCAAAUCCACCUCCAUAAAAUCGUCUCAAGUUUUCUAAUCUUUGCUUUCGGUUUAGCACUAGGCGCUUCCCUCAGCAUCUACCUCAAAGAUUUCCCCUUCCAACUUUAUUCAACACAAAACAAAUACUCUCAUUUGUCAACAAAUAAUCUAACAUUUUCUUCUCCACCACCUCCACAAUCUCUCAAUAUCCCAACAAAUAAUCGAACAUCUUCUUCUCCACCACGACCACCACAAUCUCUCAAUAUCCCGACAAAUCAAACAAGAGCCAAAACCUCCGCCGCCAGCCCUGUACCACCAAUAGGGUUGAAAGAAUACACUAAGUCGCCGAAUAUUUUGCAUGAAAUGGACGACGAUGAGCUGUUGUGGAGAGCUUCUCUGGUGCCGCUACGGCGGGGUUUGCCAUUUAAACGGACUCCAAAAGUUGCAUUCAUGUUUCUGACGAGAGGGAGCCUGGCAAUGGCUCCUCUCUGGGAAAUGUUCUUCAAAGGACAUGAAGGGCUGUACUCCAUUUAUGUCCAUGCCAAUCCGGAUUUCAAUGACACCAUACCUGAAAACUCGGUUUUUUAUGGCAGGAGGGUUCCGAGUAAGGUCAGUUUAUCAUGUUACAAUCCUAAUUUUUCUUGAUUAAUUUUCAUCAAGCAUUUUUGUUACAAGUGUUUUUAUCUAAUUUACAGAAAAAAUUGGGAAUAUAUAUGAUUAACUUGUAGUAGUUCAAAGCAAUGAUGACUUUGCGUGUAUACAUAUAUAGCAAAUUGAAUUACGCCACACAAAGAGUAAUGCUAGAGAGACUGAAUUUGUAGAAUAAAUUUUGUAAACUAAAUGAUAUGGAAGUUGAUGAUGAUUAUUACUUCCCAAGCCAACCUUUAUGGGUGUUCUGUCUAGUUAACUGAUGGUAUGGAGUAGAAUGCUUUAUGCUAGCAGCUAGCUUCAUUAAUUUUUUUGUGUACGCAAUAUGUUCUCCUUUUUGUUGCAACAAUAUUCUACCCGUUGUAAAAUUGUUUGAGUUAAUUCACAUAAUGGAUUAUCCAUAGUUAAAUAUUAAAUUUGAGACCCCUUAUUUACAAGUGAAGAAUAAAAAAUCAUUAAACUAUAGUACUACACAUUAUUGCUUUAAUUUUGAUAUUCAACUUUUCUCCACAUUCAAAUUUGCAUAAGAAAGUGUUUUUUUUUCCUUCUUUUGGCUUUUACAGUAAAGCUUUACAACUAUUUUAAUUUUUAAAAUUUUUAUAUUUAGAUUUUAUACUACGCACUUAAUUACUUCUUUUCAUAUAAACUAGUAUUUGCCUACACAUUUUGUGUGUAUGAACACAUUUUUUUAGAAAAUGGGAAGGAGAGAGGGAGGGAGAGAGAGAGAGAGAGAGAAUGUGGGGAAUUGGGAGAUUUUUUUUUAAAUUAAAUUAAUUUUUUUUUAAUUUUUAAUUUUUAAUAUUGGAGGUAUUUUAAUAUCACAUGUAGGUGAAGUUUCAAUAACAAACAGUAAAAUUUAAACUUGUGAAAUUACAUUAUUGCCCAUCAUUUUUUUAUGUGAUAGAAGAUUAAUUUGUUUUUUCACUCUCUUUUGAUUGACAAAGAGAGUUUCAUUAAUUAGUAGAGAUUAGUUAGCCAUUUUCUAGACACCACCUUUUGGAUAACUAGUAAAAUCAAAUUGAUUUUUCUUGAGAAUUGAGGCCAUUGUUUGUAAAUGGAAAAGCCAUCAACCUUGCCUCAUAACAUGCCUCAUACAGUGGAGAACUUCAUGCCCAUGUUUUAUAUAUUAUUGGUCUGUAGAGUUGUUGCAUUACUUAAUUAUUCAUUUUGCAUAACAAGGCUUUGGAAGACCAAAUCAUCAUUUGUUUAUUUAAGUAUGUAUAUGUGUGAUUCUGCAUUAUGACAGGUUUGUCAAUAAAAAUCGGAGGCAGAUCCUCUCAAGACUUACACCUCCGGAGCCUAGAUUCACAUAAUUCUGGCCUUUAAAAUUUGAUCGUACAGCUAAAAUUUUUAUUAUUUUUUGAAAACUACAAUAAUUUUUGGCCGCAUGAUCAAAUUUAAAGAUCAAAAUUAUUUGAUCCUUGAACUCCGUAGAGGAUCUGCUCCCAUGAAAAUCUACCUUCCCUUUUUUUGGGUAAAGACGAUACGAUAGUAUAAAAAAUCUACCUUCCCUUAAUUACUUAAGCUUUUCUUCAGAAGUUAUUUAUAGUUUUAAAGGCACUGAAAAUAUUAAUAUUGAUAGUUGACAUUCUUUUCAAUGCAUCAUGUUUAAGGAAUGAUAUGUAUAUUAUCUAAGUUUCAGAAUACAUUAAACUUAAUAACUUAAUUCACUUAUAAGAUACACACACACACACACAUUAUAGAAUCUAAGCAGAUCUUCAUCUUUUAAUCCUUAUAAUAAUUGGAAUUACUGAUAUAGUGUCAAGAAAUGAUUUGACAGAAGAACAUGGGUAAAACCUGUCUAUAUGAGCUUUUCCCUGCGAUAUUUUUUGACAAAUUAAUCAUAUUCAACUGUGGAAGAAGUCGUGAAGACAAGAUGAACAAAUAACAAAUCAGUUUUGGGAAAUUAUUUGGUGGGGGUGAUUUAAUUUUUGGUUAAAAUAAUGCUAAUACAUGAACACUUUCUAGAUAACCAAAUGACACACCAGAUGUUUUUAUAAAGCCUGUUGAUAUAUAAAUUUCACAUUUCAGAAAUAUUAAUAAAUUUGGCAUAUGGAUUGAGUGGUGGACUCAAUUUUGUUGCAUCAUGCAUUGCUUGGAUUCUACUCCUUUUGUAACUAUCUGCAACAGAAUUCUAUUCAUUUUCAAGACCUUUCUAAAUUCCUUUCGUAAUGUUGUCUCUUUGUCAUGCAUGCAUGUGCAUUGUAUCAAAUUCAAGAAAGAAAGCAAAAGUGGCCCUUAGUUUCUUUCUUAGUUUCUUUUAUGUCCUUAGGAAGUACAUAAAAGUAAGUAUAUAGCAUAGUGUAACACAUCAUAUUCUAGAGAAAGGCAACCUAGCUAGGCUAACUAGUCCCUCUUAAUUAACAAGCAUAACAUAUUAGCAUAACAUGUGUCAUAUUUUCUUCCUGGAUGGAUGAGACAUGAUAGGUUAUCAGACUAUCAACAGUUGAUGUCGGACAUGUUAAGUUAUCAGAUUGUCAACUGUUGAUGAACAUGUUAAGUUAUUAGACCGUUAACUUUUGAAUCAAUGACUUAUAUAACUUUACGGAUUGUAUGACAAAACAUUUUCUCCAGUGUAAUGAUUAACUACUAACUCAAAUGGUUCAAUGUGCAGAAUGUGACAUGGGGUCAACCUAACAUGGUGCAAGCUGAGCGUCGCCUAUUAGCCAAUGCUUUGCUUGACUUCUCCAACCAACGUUUUGUGCUCCUCUCAGAGUCAUGCAUACCACUCUUUAACUUCAACAUAGUCUACAAUUAUCUCAUGGACUCAAACCAAACGUUCGUGGAGGCCUACGACCUUCCCGGCCCUGUCGGCCGAGACCGGUACAGGCACAAAAUGAGGCCUCAUAUCAUACUCGAUCAGUGGCGAAAAGGCUCACAGUGGUUCGAAGUGGACCGUGAGAUCGCGACCGCAAUGGUUUCGGAUGAAAAGUACUUCCCGUUAUUCACAAGGUAUUGCAAACCCCCAUGCUACUCCGAUGAGCACUACUUGCCCACAUAUGUAAGCAUCAAGUUUUGGAAGAAGAAUUCUAACAGGACGUUGACCUGGGUUGACUGGUCGAGGGGUGGGCCCCAUCCGUCUAAGUUUAUGAGAACAGAUGUAACGAUCGACUUCUUGAAGAAGCUGAGACAUGGAAGCAACUGUGAGUACAAUGGGAAGCCAACCAAUAUUUGCUUUUUGUUUGCAAGGAAGUUCUUGCCACACUCUUUAGAUAGGCUGUUGAGGUUUGCUCCAAAGAUCAUGAGAUUCAAUUGAUUUUUAGGGUUUAGAGGUUUUCUUUUCUUUUCUCAUCAUUCAUUUCUCUGUAAACUAAAAAGGCUUAUGGUUGUUUUUGUCAUUAGCUUUUGUGGCAAAUAAAAAAUAAAAAAUAAAAAAUAAAUGAAGGCCAAGCUCUAGAAAUUGUUUUCUUUACUUGUUGGGGUAAUUUGAGGUGUAUAAGGUUAAUUUUUCAAAAUGAUUGUGAUAUAGCGUGAUAUUUGUGACAUCCUCUUUUUCCUUUUGUGUAUCGUUGAGUAGAACACCACAUCUCAAAUAGAGAAAGACUUGCGUACAUUCUUUAGAACAUAACGUUUAAGAACAAUAGCACAAUGAUAUGUGGUAAAUUGAUUCUGUAAAAUUGUGUAACUGAAAGUGCAAAUGAUAGAUUAAAAAGUCAAUAAUUCCCUUACCUUUUGUAAUCGAGUAGGGUAGAAAUAAUUUUUUUUAACAAACAAUAUUAUCUACACUAAGGGGAUGUGGAGUGUGCUAAGCCUCACAAUGGGCUAGCAAUAAUGUGGUUUAAAGGCGAGAAUCGAAUUCAAGAUAUCUCACUUAUCAUUAUUCACGAAUGAACCCCAAAAAUGUAUGUAGAGUUAGGGCAAAUUAUCAACCGGUCCGUUUGCAUGUGAGGACGUAUUUAUUUAUUCCAAAUACAAGUGAUAGUAUUAUGUUAGUUUAGUGUGAGAAUGUUUGAAUUCGAGAUGCGGUGGGUUGAUGAUAUAUUUGUUAUUUACCAAGCCCUCCAUGGGCUGUGGCUCGACCCGGAUUUUGUUCAAAACCUUGACACCUUGCCAGGCCCAAGUCUGUAUGUGAAUAGAGGUUGGGUUGCUUAAGCUAUUUGGUUCAUCAGGCACUGCGGUGGAUCUGGUAGCUAUUUGGUGGUGGAUCUAGUGGCUGUUUGGCUGGAAUUUUAAUCUUUGACGGAAAUCGUUUUUGUGUUUUUUGUCAAAUCAGGGUUCGAUUUCUUGCCGGUUCAUACUACUUGUGUUCGAUCUUUGUAAAAUUUCUGGAAUUUCAUUCUUUGAAGGCGGUGAUUGUGUGUUGGUGAAUUUCUAGGGUACGAAGCCUCUAAGUAAUUGUUUGUGAUUCUUUCUAUUAAUCUGAGCAAUUCGAGCACGAAACUCCAUGUUAUUUGCAUUUUGUAUGCGAUGUGUAUAUCUGCGGUGAUCAUUUGUUGAAGAAUUGAAAUUUGAGUUUCUAUGAUGAGUUUUGUGGAUUGUUCUGAGUUUCUUGUUUGGCACGAAACAUGUUAGUGUUAAUUGUUGGCAUGAAGCUUGUUGAUUGUUCUGCAUUUCUUUUUGGCACGAAGCAUGUUGAUACUCAUUGUUGGCACGAAGCCAGUUUUUCAUCAAUUUCUUGAGCACGAAGCUAUCUGAAGAAGUAAAGUUCUCGGUGGUUUUUAGAUAUUAUAUGAAAUUUCUUGAAGUAUGGCGAUGAAUUCUAUCAAGAUUGACAGUUUAUUGGGAAUGUUAACUAUGAGACUACAAAUGACAAUUUUGUGAAGUGGUCUUUUCAAUUUCGAUCAGUUCUUGAAGGUUAUGACCUAUUUGAUCAUUUUGAUGGUUCUUCUGUGUGUCCACCGAAGUUUGUGUUUACUGAGGAGACUGGGAUUACUAUUGAAUUACUAAAGCUUAUAAGGAGUGGAUUAAAUAAGAUUAAGCUCUUGUUAGUUUUUUACUGGCCACACUUGGUGAUGAAGCAGUUGAGUAUGUUGUUGGUUGCAAAACUGCUCAUGAAGCCCGGACAAAUCUCCAAGAUAGAUAUGCUACUGUGUCUAGGGCUCGAAUUAAUCAUUUGAAGACAGAGUUUCACACUAUUAAGAAAGGUGCUAAUAGUGUAGAGAAGUAUAUGCUCAGACUCAAGGCUCUUAAAGAUCAAUUAAUUGCCAUUGGUGAAGUAGUAUCUGACAAUGAUCUAAUUGUAGUUGUUUUAGCUGGCUUACUUGCUGAGUUUAAUAUGAUUCGAACUGUGAUUGUAGCCUGUGAGACUCCAAUUUCCUUAAAGGAAUUUCAGGCACAAUUGUUGGCUGCUGAAAGAACUGCUGAAGAAUCUCACUCUACUUUAACUUUUCCAAUGUCAACAAUGUAUUGUCAUGGUGAAUAUUCUAAUGUUGCUCAACAUUCUCAAGGUUCUUCAUAAUAUUUCGAUGGAGGUUGUGGUUAUGUCGGUAAAAGUAGUGCUGAAUCUUCGACUAAUGGUUCAAGCCUCACUGGUGGGAUAAUUUCUCAAGCUCAAUUGCCUCAAUUUCAUCAACAAGGAAAUGGUAAAAAAGGUCGUACCCAGUGCACAAGGCUCCCGCUUUACGCAGGGUCUGGGAGAGGUGAAUGUCGGCUAGCCUUACCCCCAUUUAUAGAGAGGCUGCUCCCAAGUCUCGAACCCGAGACCUACCGCUCAUGGGCGAAGGCACUUGCCAUUGCACCAAGUGCGACCAUGGAAGAUUUAAUAAUAGACCAAGGUAUAAUGGUGGUAACAAUGGCAGAUUUUUUGGGAAUUCAACCAUGUCUUCUGGAAAUUUUGGUAAUAGUGGAGGUUCUAGUUCAAAAAGAGGAUCUAGUUGGCAGAAUUGGAAUGGCAACACUGGUUCUAAGUCUACUAUGAUUCCUGAAUGAUAGAUUUGUAACAAGCGCGGUCAUACUACACCAAACUAUUAUUGUAGGUAUUCUACAAGUUCUAACACUGCUCCUCAAGUUCCAAAGUGUCAACUAUGUGGGAAGUGAGGGCAUACUACUCUUAACUGCUACCAUAUGAGCAAUUAUGCUUAUCAGGGUGCUUAACCACCAUCUUCUAUCACUGCUCUUACUGCACAAACUCAGCCAAGUUUUGCUUCCUCUUCUCAACCAAACUGGGUGUUGGACACAGGUGUUACACACCACAUGACAGCAGAUUUGGAUAAUUUGACUCUGAUGGCUUUUUUUGAAGGAAAUGAAAGAAUCAUAAUGGGCAAUGGUGAAGGAUUUCUGGUUGCUAACACUGGUUUGGGUUCCAUUUUAACUCCUUAAAAAAUGUUAACUUUGAAAAUGGUUUUACAUGUUCCUCAAUUGGCUACAAGUCUAUUAUCUAUUUAUAGACUUUGUAAAGAUAACAAUUGUUAUGUUAUUCUUGAUGAGUUUGGUUUUUGGGUGCAGGACAAGGCAACAAAGAAAAUCAUCUUGAGAGGAAGGAGUAGUAGUAGUGGCUUGUAUUACAUUCUUCAACAACAUUUUUUCAAGUAUUCGCAGUUUUUGGACACUUUACCACAGGCUCUCUUGGGGCAGCUUGUGAAGACAUCUAUUUGUCAUCAUCGGCUUGGUGAUCCAACCAAUGAGGUUUAAUCCAAAAUGCUUAAGGAUUUUUCUAUUUCUGUUUGUUUAGAUGUACAUCCACAGAUAUACUCAUCAUGUAUUAUGGGCAAAAUGUCUAGACUUCCAUUUAGUUCUAGUACUACUAAGUCUAGUAUUCCAUUUGAAAAAGUGCAUACUGAUGUAUGGGGACCCUUACCCACUAUCUCUGUUGAAGGUUACAAAUACUAUGUAAUCUUUGUUGAUAAAUGCACAAGGUUUACUUGGAUCUUCCCACUUGUGAAUAAAUUUGAUGUAUAUGAUGUGUUUCUUAAAUUUCAUGCUCUUAUUGAGAAUCAAUUUAAGACAACCACUAAGUCAUUACAAACAGAUGAGGGAGGUGAAUAUAUGAGUGGAUUGUUUAAGAAAUUUCUGGAUUUACAUGGUAUUGUGCACCUUGUUUCAUGUCCAUAUACGCCCCAACAAAAUGGGUUAUCAGAAGGGAAGAAUAGGCAUAUUAUUGAGACUGUUGCGACUUUGGUCAGUGCUGCUUCUUUACCUCAGUAAUUUUGGUAUCAUGCUUGCAGUCAUGUAGUAUUUCUGAUGAAUCGAAUGCCAUGCCUAAAUUUGCAAAUAUCAUAUCCUUAUGCUAAGUUGUUUGGAAGGUCUCAUUCUUUAGUAAAUAUUAAUGUUUUUGGUAUGACUGUCUACCCUUACUUAAAACCUUAUAAUGCUAAUAAGCUGUAAGCUAGAAAUGAUGAAUGUGUAUUUUUAGGAUACUCAGUUGGUUAUAAAGGGGUGUUGUGUUACAAUAGAACUACAAGGAGGCUGUUGUUAUGUAAGCAUGUAAUACAUGAUGAAAGUAGAUUUCCCUUUAAGGCUCUUUGUCCUACAACCAUCAAUACAUCUAAUUCAUCUUUGGCCGAUUCCAAUUCCCAAAGAUUGUCAAUUAGAACAAUGCCUGUUGUUUUGCCAAGGCAUUCGAAUGAGUUCACAGAUCAGUUGUCCGAGAAUUAUGUGUGUAGUCAGAAUAUGGAAGUGCCAUCUUUGUCUUCUCAAAGUUUAAGUGUCUUUGCAAGUUCAGACAGUGUCUCAGUACAAACUACUACUCAAGCUACUACUCCACUAUCAACUCAUUCUUCCUCUCAAGUGUUGCCUAUCUAUACUCAUUCCCAAACUCAGGUAUCUUCUUCUUCCCCAGAGAUAUUGCAUACACCUACACAAUUUGAUACUCACAUCACUCAUUUAGAUAAUGAACAUGAUGUCUCAACCACUGUUAUACCUAGUACUGCAGUAUAUGUUUAUUCUGAACAUAAUAUGGUUACAAGGUUGAAAAGUGGUGUAAUACAGAGAAGGAAUUAUGCAGCUUAUCAUGUAUCGUUAUCUGAUAUACAGUUAUCUCCUUAGUCACAUAAUGAUGAUGUAGUCCUUUAUGGUUUCACUUCUGUAUUAGAUAUUCAUGAUUCUUUUGAGCCUUCUCAUUAUAAACAAGCAGUUGUAUCUGAGCAUUGGAGGAAUGCUAUGACAAAAGAGUUCAAUGCACUGCACAAACAAGGGACUUGGGAGUUUGUACCUUAUACAGAAAAUAAAAAUGUUAUAGGCAGCAAAUGGGUGUAUAAAAUCAAGAAAGAUCAAGAAUGGAAGAUUUCUAGGUACAAGGCUCGACUGGUUGCACAAGGGUAUAGUCAAGAACAAGGUUUGGACUAUGACGAAACUUUUAGUCCGGUUGUUCGACAUACUACAAUACAACUUGUUUUAUCUCUUAUUGCUAUGAAUAAAUGGGAUUUAAGGCAAUUAGACGUGAAAAUGCAUUUUUGCAUAGUGAAUUACAAAAAGAGGUGUUUAUGAAGCAACCUCAAGGGUUUCAAGAUCCUUGAUAUCCUAAUCAUGUUUGCAAACUUCUUAAAUCUUUGUAUGGUUUGAAACAGGCACCCCAAGCCUGGAAUGCAAAGUUUACUAGUUAUCUUCCUACUUUGGAGUUUCAGUCUUCUCACUCGGAUCCAAGCUUGUUUGUGAAGUUCAGUGGCAGAGAUGUGGUGAUUAUUCUUCUAUAUGCUAAUGAUAUUAUUAUUACUGGCUCAUGUUCCAAAGUUAGUGUAGCAAGUAAUUGAUGAUUUGGCCUUUGUGUUUGACAUGAAGGAUAUGGGUAGACUUACUUAUUUUUUGGGACUUCAAUUUAGUUACAGGGAGAAUGGGGAUAUUUUUAUUAGUCAGUCAAAAUAUGUUACUGAUCUCCUUACUAAGGCCGGUAUAGUUCAUUGUAGACCUUGUUUUACUCCUAGUAAACCUCAUACACAGUUAUUGAAGGAUGAAGGAGAACCAUUGUCUGAUCCAACAAUUUAUAGGAGUUUGGUUGGUGCUUUGCAAUAUUUGACCUUUACUAGGCCAAAUAUUACUUAUGCAGUCAAUUAUGCUUGUCAGUUUAUGAAUACUCCUACUAAGGUUCAUUUCUGUUUGGUGAAGCACAUACUCCAAUAUUUGAAGGGUACCUUGAAUUGUAAGAUUACUUAUUCAGCUACUGCCAAAUUGAAAUUGCUUGCUUAUAGUGAUGUUGAUUGGGCAGCUGACAUAAAUACUAGACGAUAAACCACUGGAUAUGUUAUUUUCUUGGGAUAUAAUCCUAUUUCUUGGCAGUCUAAGAAGUAAGGCAGUGUGUCUCGAAGUUCAACGGAGGCUAAAUAUAAUGUCUUGGCUAGUGCAGUUGCUGAUAUUGCUUCGAAUGGUUCUUAAGGAUCUUCAUAUGUUUUUUCCUUCUACUCCUUUGCUGCAUUGUGAUAAUUUGUCCACAUUAGCCUUAUGUUCUAAUCCAGUGUUUCACACUCGGAUUAAACACUUGGAUACUAAUUUUCAUUUCCUUCGUGAAAGAGUACAAAAAUGUGAUAUGGAGGUUCAGUACAUUCCUACAGAAGCUCAGGUUGCAGAUCUCUUAACGAAAGGAUUACACAGUCCUUUGUUUGUUCAUCAUUAUUCCAAUCUCAGACUGGGUUACCCCAUUUGAGAUUGAGGGGGAGUAUUAACAGAAGACACCUAAGCAUUUGGCUAAAUGGUACACCUUAGCAUUUGGUUAGCUUAGAAUUGUACACGUCAUCAUUUAGUUAGCUUAGUGGUUAAGUUGUCAAAAGGUAACAGCUGUAAUUCUAAGGCCAUAUAUAUAGUGGGAUAACCACUUGUAAUUGUAUUCAUUCAUUGCAAUAAAAUGCAACUUGUUCUCCAAGUUCUUUCUCUAUCUAAACCUCAUUCUCUCUCUUAUUCUUCAUUUUUGUUUCAUUGAUGGAUCAUUUGUUGGAUAUAUGUCAACAAUCUGUGAUAAUUUAUAUAUGCUAAUAAAUAAUAAAUGCAAUAGGAAUUAACAGAAUAUAAACUAGAAUACAAAUUAUAAAAACAGACAACUUGAAGAUCGAGGCUUGCGUACCAUAAUGUCCUUGAAACAGAAAUUUUGUCCCUACUCUGUGCUUGUAGUUCUACGGACGUCUGCUUCACUACGAUUCAACGAUCAAGUUAAAAUUCCAGCACCGGACAAUUUAACUUCUGGCGAAUUUAGUGUGGUUCUCUCAGUAAGAAGGUUUAGGAAUGUAGAAGAUGAAGUUGAUUAUUUUCUGUGUUCUAAAUGCCAUGCAGAUAGAUGUAUAUAUAGCAGAUGGAUGCCUGUUUGCAACAGGUAUGAGAAUGAGGUGUGACUGUUGGGAGACAUCUCUUCAGAGGGGUGCUUUUCUCUGUGUUAAAAAAGAACUCUUAGACUUCAUCUGAAAGGAUGAGUCUUUUCAUAAAAAAAUAAUAAUUAAAUUCGAAUUUAAUUAAAAAUAAUUAAUUAAAUCCGAAAAAUAAUUAAUUAAAUAAUUUAAUUAUUAGAGCCCGAGCGCAAGAGCCCCAAGGCCCAUCUUUUGAUAAUUAAUUAUAUAUUAAUUAUAUAUUAUUUAUAAUUAAUUAUAUAUUAAUUACCAAUUAAGUAAUACACCCAAAAGCCCAACCCCAAGGGUGAUCCCAAUUUUCUUCUCCAAGGCCUAUCUUCCAAUCACUUUCUAUAAGAGAUAAAACCUUAUAAAGUGUGGAGACCUUGUGGGAAUGGUCAAUGUGGGACAAACCCCACAUAAGAAAUUUCUAUUCAAAAUUUCCAACAUCAUUGAGUUCUUGAGAUCAUGAUUUCUCUCUAGACUCUAGUUAUCACAGUCAAACGCAGAAAAAAUAUUGCGUAUUUAGUCAAACACAGUACUUAAAGUGAGGAAUUACCUUGGUUCUUUAAGCAAACUUUCCUCGAAAUAUUCUUGGCUUGUAUGCAUAAGAAUUCAUUUUCCACGGCAGUCAAAUCAGAAUUUGAAAUUCGUGUGAGAUCAUUUAAGUUUAACAUGUAAACAACGCAUAUUGAGUGACGUGAGAACACGCGAACUGUUAGACUCAACAUGUAAAUUAACAUACUCUAAUAUUAAUAUAAAUUGACAAUAUAACAAAAAUUAACUUAAUUUUGUUAUAAACACAUGCAAGAUUACUUAAUUUUUCGACCUGGAUUUACUUUCAACUUUCAACAUCCAAAAGAUCUGAAAUUUUGCCCACCUAACUAAACAGUGACAAAGCUCCCUGGCAAAAGGAGCAAUACGUAUCUCUUUCCUUUCUUGUACUAUUUCACUUUUUGUCUUACCAUGGAGCAUUUGUUGUUAUAAGUUUAUAGUAUAGUAGUUAAUUAAUCAAAACGUCACACAAUUUAGAGGCCCUACAUGAAAAUGAAUUAGAUCCUUCUGAGAAAUGUAGUUAUUGACUAAUAGUAACAUCGAUGUACUUACAGUCAAGGAAGAAAAUAUCGGUGAUAUCGGAAAUAUCGGUAGUUCGAAAACACGGAAAUAUCGAUGGAAAUAUCGGUAAAAUAUCGAUAUCGAUAAAAAUUACAUGGAAACCACGAAAAUUGUAAGAAAAACUUGGAAAUUUUUAUUGAAACUUUGUAGGAUGUUUAUUUAGUCAAUUAUCUAUUAGUUUAUCACAAAAAAUUGGAAGGAAAUGCAUUGCAUGAUGGAUUUAACAUUAUCAAGUUGAUUAUAUAGCGAUCUGACAAACAUUAUGAGUGUAGAAAAUAUGUAGUAAUUAAUGAAAGAAGUCUAAACACACCAUAAUCAUUUAUAUAUAAUGAAUUAGUACAAUAUUUUACACUUUAGAACCACAUAGAGUUCCUAUGAGGUUCAAAUUUGUCACUAUCUUCAUCAUCUCUAUGUGUAGAAUGAGUGUAUUGUGAAGAGUAGUUAUCAAAUGAUAAAUCCCCAAAAAUAGUUUUGCAUGUAAUUGUUAAUAUGCCACCCAUAUGGAUCCGAGAUUGGUUGAGGUUGUCCAUAAGAAAAAUCAUUUGAAGAUUGAGGCUGGGAUUGAUUCCAUGAGUCGCUCGAUUCCAUCCCAACAGGAAUGGGAUAUGAAGGGUAGGGAAAUGGUUGGUUAUGAGGAUAACCAUAGUUACUACUUCCCAAUCCAACAGAGUCUGAAGUUCUAGAUAACGAGUCAUCUUCUUGACUUGACAAAAUCUUUUUGCCUCUUUCUCUGCGAGUAUAGUCCUUCCCUAUGGCACCAAUUCCUGGUCCUGCCCGCCUACUGCCAUGGUCAUCAUCCUGGGUUGCAUGCGUGAAGUUUGCCUCACCAGUGAAGGGGCUCAUAUAUCCGGGAGGUGGUGGUCCAUAAUAGUUUCCAUAUCCACCACCACUACCUCCAGCUCCACUAUGUCCUUCAUCAUUCCCACCUCCGGUGGUAGGUGAGUCUCCUGAUCUUGUACUAGAGCUAUCAUUAGUAUCAGCACGAUGUUGUGGUUGUGUAGGAUUGGAAAAAGGUGGAAUUCCAGUGUUGCUUGGUCUUGGCUGCAAAAGUUCUUCGAAAGAGUCAGCGCUGCUAGAUCCCACCUCCUCCUCUAAUACUCUUUCUACAUUUAUCCCUUCAUUACGUGCUUCUUCAGCAACUCUGGGAGCUGGGUUGCCUUCAUCAUCAUCUAAAUGAAGAGGUCUAAUCCAUUGAAAAAGUUGGUUACCCUCCGUAUCAUCAUCUUCACCAACAAUAUCAAACACAUCUAGUGGGUCACCACGGUCGACAUGAUCGAUUUCUGCUUCCUUAUCUCGAAUUUGAAGCUUCAUGUUGUAGUAGCAAUAAACUAAUUUUUCCAAGCUACUAUGAGCCAACUUAUUUCUUUGCUUUGUGUGGAUGAGUGCAAAGGUGCUCCAAUUUCUUUCACAAGCAGAUGAGGAAGCCGUUUGUGAUAAUACUUUUAUUGCUAACUUUCUCACAGUUGGUGCAUCGGUCCCAUACAUGAUCCACCAUUCAGCUACAAUGAAAAAUAAUGUUGAUAAGCCUAAUAACUCCAACAAAUUCUAUUAUAAACUUAUAGUGAAAUAUGUUUAUACUCACUAGGAGACAUAUUUGUUCGAGCAGCAACUGAUGUUGGUUCUCCAAAUGUUCUUCUUGCAUCUUUAAACCAUGUUAGCUGAAUACAAUAAAUUGUGUUAGUUUAAUCCAACAAAGUAAUUAUUAUAAUUUAAGUAAUUGUGUACCUCAUUUCCAAAUUGGCCAACUGCUGGUGAUGCAGGGUCUAAUUUUAUGUAUACAUUAUGUACAGCACGUAUAAGGUUACCAUCAUCUCCAACACCGGGUCUUAUAUUGGUAUCGGGGAUUCAAAUAAUAUGCUGUUCAAAGAAACACAUACUCUAAUAAGAUAAAUAAUACUUAUGCAACUAAAGAAAUGAAUUGCAAAUUAUGACAUAAAUUUAUACCUGCUGCAUGCAAAUCGUGGUAUAAUGUUUUAUACCAUCGGUCUUCAAUUAUUUUUACGACCCACCUUGCACCAUGUUUUCUUUCCAAUUCAUCCUUCACUACACGCAUCAACUCAUAUACAGCCCCCAUAGUAGGAUACACUUCUGUGUCAACGAUCCGUAAAACUUUGUAAAGAGGUUCAAACACUUGACACACAUGUUCUGUUUGACUCCAAAAAGCAUGAUCAAGCACUAUACUUUCCACCAUACGACCUGUAUUUGAGCGGCUGAAAUUGUGGUUGGCCCAAUCGUCACUAGUGAAUAGUUGCUUCAACCCUGCUUUCUUCUUGAGUAGGCUGUUUAAUGCAAUAUAGUUGGUGGCGAAUCGAGUGGAAGUUGGACGAAUAAUUUCUCCUCUGCAAAAUUCACGCAUCUUUGCCAACAACCAACCGUGAUUGUAAAUAUAAUUAGUGAUCGUUCUAGCUCUUUUGAUCACAGUAGCAACAUUCUCUCUCUUCCCCAUUGCCUCAAACAUAAGAUCAAUACAAUGUGCUGCACAUGAUGUCCAAAACACAUUAUGAUGCUUCAUUAACUUUUUUCCAGCUUUGACAAAUGCAGAACCGUUGUCGGUCACGACUUGGACAACAUUAUGCUCUCCCACCUCCAUGAUUACAUCCCUCAAUAAUUUGUAAAUAUACUUGUAAUUCUUUAUAUGGUCUGAAGCAUCAACAGACUUCAGAAAAAUUGUCUUGCCCUUGGAGUAUACCAUGAAGUUGAUGAUAGAUAAUCUGGUCGGGCCGGUCCAUCCGUCACACAUGAUUGUGCAACCAUUAGUUUCCCACUUUGACCUCAACUUGUUAACAUACUCGCCAAUGUCUUUAUACUCCAUAUCCAAAUAUUUGUUUCUUAUCUCAUAGGGAGUGGGAGGUUGUACUCCAACACCGGCCUGUUGACAUCCCACUACCAUAUUUUUGAAAUGAUGUGAUGAAGCCUUCGCAGCAGGGACAUUUUCAUAGAUAAAGAACUUGCUAAUUAGACGCCCCAUUCCCUCCUUCACAUUACCUCCCUUGAAAUAACUCCAAACACACUCUUUUGACGUGCGUUGGAUGACUUAUAUAAACUUGGGGCUAUUGGUGGUGUUGGUUGUGAUUCUCUAAGACUGCCUCCCCGUCUCAUUUGUGCACCACCACUUGUCCCGGAACCUUGUCCCCUAUUAGGAAUUUUAUGAAGGUGUUCUCUUUCCCAUGCUGACUGUUUGGAGGCACGUAAUGCUUGUUUCAAACUGCGUCGUUCUUCAGGUCCCAUGUCAUCAUCACAUUCGUCCUCAUCGUCAUCCUCAUCACUGUCAACCGCUUGGCCAUAGACUUCUCCCCGUAGCCCAGCUCGAAUAUUUUCCAUUCCUUGUGUCAUCUUUUCCUUCUGCUGUUUUUUAUUUUUUAAUAAUGUGCUGAUGAAUGCCUUCACUUCUGGGGGGACAUUAUCGCAUCGUUGGACAUUUUUUGAUGGAUCUAAUCCACUAAGAUGAUACUUCAGUCGUGUCACUCCGCCACUCUUCAUUACCCGACCACAAUAUUUGCAAAUUGUGCCAUGUUUGUUUCCGUCUAUUGGGUCUCCAUGUUCCCAAGCUGGAUCACGUUUACUUGACAUCUUAAACGUACCUAUAUUUAUUUUUCAUUAAAAUUUAGACAAUUAUUUUUUGAUAAAAAUAAGAGAACCUAAAUAAUAAAGUUAUUCUACAGAAGAAUUAAAUACAAAGUAAAGAAAAUGAUUGUAAAAAGUUAAGUAAUUAUACAAAUAAUAUGGAAUAAUAAAACCUAAUAUUAAUGAAUAAUAAUCCAAUUUGAUAAUAAUUCAAUUUAAUGAAUAAUAAUCCAAUUUGAUAAAAAAAAAUCCUAAUAUAAAACAUGGUGAUGAAUAAUAAUCCAAUUUGAUAAUAAUCCAAUUUAAUGAAUAAUCCACCAAUUUGAUAAAAAAAUUAUCCUAAAUUAAAACAUGGUGAUGAAUCAUAAUCCAAUUUGAUAAUAAUAAUCCAAUUUGAUAAUAAUCCAAUUUAAUGAAUAAUCCACCAAUUUGAUAAAAAAAUUAUCCUAAAUUAAAACAUGGUGAUGAAUAAUAAUCCAAUUUGAUAAUAAUCCAAUUUAAUGAAUAAUCCACCAAUUUGAUAAAAAAAUUAUCCUAAUAUAAAACAUGGUGAUGAAUAAUAAUCCAAUUUGAUAAUAAUCCAAUUUAAUGAAUAAUCCACCAAUUUGAUAAAAAAAAUUAUCCUAAAUUAAAACAUGGUGAUGAAUCAUAAUCCAAUUUGAUAAUAAUAAAUCCAAUUUGAUAAUAAUCCAAUUUAAUGAAUAAUCCACCAAUUUGAUAAAAAAAUUAUCCUAAAUUAAAACAUGGUGAUGAAUAAUAAUCCAAUUUGAUAAUAAUCCAAUUUAAUGAAUAAUCCACCAAUUUGAUAAAAAAAUUAUCCUAAUAUAAAACAUGGUGAUGAAUAAUAAUCCAAUUUGAUAAUAAUCCAAUUUAAUGAAUAAUCCACCAAUUUGAUAAAAAAAUUAUCCUAAAUUAAAACAUGGUGAUGAAUCAUAAUCCAAUUUGAUAAUAAUAAUCCAAUUUGAUAAUAAUCCAAUUUAAUGAAUAAUCCCACCAAUUUGAUAAAAAAAUUAUCCUAAAUUAAAACAUGGUGAUGAAUAAUAAUCCAAUUUGAAUAAUAAUCCAAUUUAAUGAAUAAUCCACCAAUUUGAUAAAAAAAAAUUAUCCUAAUAUAAAACAUGGUGAUGAAUAAUAAUCCAAUUUGAUAAUAAUCCAAUUUAAUGAAUAAUCCACCAAUUUGAUAAAAAAAUUAUCCUAAAUUAAAACAUGGUGAUGAAUAAUAAUCCAAUUUGAUAAUAAUCCAAUUUAAUGAAUAAUCCACCAAUUUGAUAAAAAAAUUAUCCUAAUAUAAAACAUGGUGAUGAAUAAUAAUCCAAUUUGAUAAUAAUCCAAUUUAAUGAAUAAUCCACCAAUUUGAUAAAAAAAUUAUCCUAAUAUAAAAGAAUAAUAAUCCAAUUUGAUAAUAAAAAAACCUAAUAUAAAAGAAUAAUAAUCCAAUUUGAUAAUAAAAAAAUCUAAUAUUAAAGAAUAAUAAUCCAAGUUGAUAAUAAAAAAACCUAAUAUUAAUGAAUAAUAAUCCAAUUUGAUAAUGAAGAUGGUAAGGGAAAUAAAAUAAUAAAUAAUAUUAAACAUAUUAAAAUUAUCCUAGGGAAUAAUUAUACAACAUUACUUAAUUACUUAAAACAAUUAAUAUUAACAUUACUUAAUUACUUACAAAAAUUAACAUGCAAGUAUUAAUUACUUAAAAAGAUUCACAUACGAGUCCACACAAAUUUAUUUGUUGUUGUAUAAAUUACAAUAAUAUAAAUUUAAGUUUGUAAACUUACCUUAAAUAUUGAAGCCUUUGUGUUCAAGCUUUGGAAUGGAUCUGGAAUGACUUUGAAAAUGGUAAGGAAAAUAAAAUAAUAAAUAACAUUAAACAUAUUAAAAUUAUCCUAGGGAAUAAUUAUACAACAUUACUUAAUUACUUAAAACAAUUAAUAUUAACAUUACUUAAUUACUUACAAAAAUUAACAUAAUUAACAUGCAAGUAAUUACUUAAAAAAAUUAACAUACGAGUGCACACAAAUUUAUUUGUUUUUGUAUAAAUUACAAUAAUAUAAAUUUAAGUUUGUAAACUUACCUUAAAUAUGGAAGCCUUUGUGUUGCUUGGCGUUGGAAAGGAUCUGGAAUGGUUUUGAAAAUGGUAUGGGAAGAAGAAUGUAAGUUAAAAUUCGGUGAAUGCCUCUGAUGAUGAAAGAAUGUAAGUAUAUAACAGACAUUGACACUGUUUUACAUGUGAAAGACAUUGACACUGUUUUGCAUAUGAAAGACUGUCACACGCUUUCAUUAUUAAAGCAGUAGUAUUUGUUGUGCAUGUUCUGAAAUUGCAAAAAGUUCUUUGGAUUAUUGUAUCAGAGAGGUAGACAUAGGUUUGGAAUGAUUUGGUUUUCAAUAAUUUGGAGCAUUGGAUGCUUUUUUUUUCUAACAUGCCAUCACUCAGACAGUAAAAAAAGACUGAAUAACUCACACUCCACCACACACACACUUCGAGACCCCCCCACCACACCACACACACACACCACACACGUACUACCCUAUUCCCGAAUCCUCUCAGUCUCGAUCUUUCAUUUCCCACUCCACUACCCUAUUCCCGAAUCCUCUCAGUCUCUCUCUUCUCUCUUCUCUCUCUGAGGUCGGUCUGAGCCUUCGUUCUCACCGAGAAGUUCUCAGUCUUCUCCCUCCCUUCCCCCUUCUCCACUUCUUCCACACACACACACAGAGACAUCAUCACCGAGAAGUUCUCAGUCCUCGUCCGUGUCUCCGUGUCUCCGUGUCUCCCUGUCUCCCUCUGCUCCUCCCAUCUCACCCGCCCUAAACCCAGCCGUCGACACCACUCCUUAACCGUCUGUGUCUCCAUGUCUCCCUGUCUCCCUCUGUCUCCGUAGUCCAAGCCGUCGACACCACUGAGGACCACGAACUUGUCCCAGCCGUCUUGGAUUCGUGAGGAAGACGAUGUUCCAGGCUCCUACUUCUCUUCUUCCCCUCUAUUACUUUAAAUUUUUGUAAAGAUUUCAAUUUUUCUGCAUGUUGCACACCUUUGUUGUACUGAAAUUGAUUUUAGGGAUUUAGGAAUUAGGGUUCUAUUUUUGUACAGAUUGCGAUUUAUCUGCAUGUUGCUUGAUUUUUGUACUGAAAUAGAUUUUAGGGAUUUAGGAAUUAGGGAUUCAGUUCAGUUGCUUUGAAUCCGAAUUUGGGGAUUUAGGGAUCGGUUCAUUUGCUUUGAUUUUUGUACUCAAAUCGUUCUUCUCGGCUUGUAAACAUGUUGAUUUUUGUAAUGAAAUCGUUCUUGUCGGAAUCCUGUAUUGUAGAUUCAGUUCAUUAGGCUGGAAAUUAGCAUUUGGGGAUUUAGGGUUUCGGAUUAUUUGCUCCGGCCGUGUUCUCCGACGAGUCCAUACCAAAUAUCGCGAUAGUUUCGAAAAUAUCGCGAUAUUAUCGAUAAUAUCGAUAAUAUCGCGAUAUUAUGCCGAAAACUAGUUGGAUAGUUACUAAAAUAUCGGGGUCCCCUAAAAACGAUAAUAUCGGCGAUAUUUCGCCGAUAUUAUCGAUAUUUUCUUCUGUGCUUACAGUACACGGCUAUCUGGCCGCCCAAUAUUUCCACAUAUAAAUUAAUUUUAAAUUUGUGAUAUAGACAUGUACAUUAUCGUAUAAAUUUCGUGUCUUACAACAGAUAUUCAAUGCAUUCAUCAUAAAUUUCGUGUGUUACAACAGAUAUUUAAUUCAUUCAUCAUAUUACACUGACGUCAGGUAGGUCUGACAAAUAGGUCGUGUCUAUCGUGUUUGUGUUAUUUUCGUGUAACACCUGUUAUCUUAACGGGUCGUGUCGUGUCACACCUGUUAUCUUAACAGGUCCUUAACAGGUUGGGUCACUCUACCCGUGUCGUUUUCAUGUAACACAUGUUAUCUUAACGGAUCGUGUCGUGUCACACCUGUUAUCUUAACAGGUCCUUAACAGGUCGGGGUCAUUUUACCUAACGGGUAAAGUGACCUAACAUGUUAUGAUCCGUUAUGACCCGUUAAGAAAACUAUAUUUUUCUUCUUAAAUUUGCACAUACCACACAUUACCACAUAAAUAUUACUUCAAAACAUUAAAACAUAUUUAUCAUUUAAGUACUACAUCUACACUCGAAAAUAAGAGCCUAAUGAAAAAGACAUCCAUACACUACUAGUCAAUUUUUUAAAUUUAAUUUAAUACAUAGAUUAACUAACACUUAAGAGUUUAUUCAUAUUUUCAUUAAGUAUAACAAAAAAUUUUGUGGUAUCCACUAGUGUAAAUAUUUUAAAUUGAAGAUCGAGUUCAUUCAUUGUAUUCAUAUAGGGUCAAGGAGUGUAGUUGUAAAAAAAUCAUCAAAAUCAGAUUUAAAAUAACCAUUAAAUCAUGAUUUUUCCUUGAUAACCGUUGAAAAGUUUUGUCUUGUUACUUGAUCUCUGAAUGUUUGUUUUUUGCGAUUAUUGGCGUAUGCGAUCUCGAAGCAUAUACAAAUAAGUUUGACGGUUAGAUUGUUGAAAUUAGUUUCGUAGAACGCGUAUCCUAUCAAAACGAUAAAUUUAUUAACACUUAGAGUUUAUUUAUACUUUCAUUAAGUAUAACAUAAGAUUUUGUGGUAUCCACUUGUGUAAAUAUUUUUAAUUGAAGAUUGAAUUCAUUCAUUGUAUUCAUAUAGGGUCAAUGAGUGUAGUUGUAAAAAAUCAUCAAAAUCGGAGUAAAAAUAACCUUUAAAUAGUGAUUUUUUGUUUAUAAUUGUCGAAAAGUUUUGUCCCGUUACUUGAUCUCUGAAUGUUUGUUUUUUGCGAUUUUUGGCGUAUGCGAUCUCGAAUCAUAUACAAACAAGUUUAACGGUUGGAUUGUUGAAAUUAGUUUUGUAGAAUGCGUAUCUCAUCAUAACGAUAGAUUCACUAACACUUAAGAGUUUAUUUGUACUUUUAUUAAGUAUAACAUAAGAUUUUGUGGUAUCCACUUGUGUAAAUAUUUUAAAUUGAAGAUCGAAUUCAUUCAUUGUAUUCAUAUAAGGUCAAGGAGUGUAGACAUAAAAAAUCAUCAAAAUCAAAGUUAAAAUAACCGUUAAAUCGUGAUUUUUUGUUUAUAACCAUCGAAAAGUUUUGUCUCGUUACUUGAUCUCUAAAUGUUUGUUUUUUUUCGAUUUUUGGCAUAUGCGAUCUCGAAGCAUGUACAAACAAGUUUGACGGUUGGAUCGUUGAAAUUAGUUUCGUAGAAUGCGUAUCUCAUCAAAACGAUAGAUUCACUAACACUUUUAUUUAUACUUUCAUUAAGUAUAACAUAAUAUUUUGUGGUAUCCACUUGUGUAAAUAUUUUAAAUUGAAGAUCAAAUUCAUUCAUUGUAUUCAUAUAGGGUCAAGGAGUGUAGCUGUAAAAAAUCAUCAAAAUCGGAGUUAAAAUAAUCGUUAAAUUGUGAUUUUUUUUGUUUUAUAACUGUCAAAAAGUUUUGUCCCGUUACUUGAUCUUUGAAUGUUUUUUUUUUCCAUUUUUAGCAUAUGAAAUCUCGAAGCAAUUACAAACAAGCUUGACGGUUGGAUCGUUGAAAUUAGUUUCGUAUGAUGCGUAUCCCAUAAAAAUGAUAGAUUCACUAACACUUAGAGUUUAUUUAUACUUUCAUUAAGUAAAACAUAAGAUUUUGUGGUAUCCAUUAGUGUAAAUAUUUUAAAUUGAAGAUCGAAAUCAUUCAUUGUAUUCAUAUAGGAUCAAGGAGUGUAACUAUAAAACAUAAUCAAAAUCGGAGUUAAAAUAAUCGUUAAAUCAUGAUUUUUUGUUUUAUAACCGUCGAAAAGUUUUGUCCCAUUACUUGAUCUCUAAAUGUUUGUUUUUUGCGAUUUUUUGCUGAUAUGAUCUUGAAGCAUAUACAAACAAAUUUGACGAUUAGAUCGUUGAAAUUAGUUUCGUAGAAUUUGUAUCCCAUCAAAUUCAAUGGUGUAUGUAUAUAUAUAUAUAUAUAUAUUAAGUAGGUUUAAAUUUAUUUAUUUUGUACGUAUAAGUUUAUAACACUUGAAAAAUUAAAUGCUAUGUAUAUUUAAGCCUAUCCAAUGGUCACCAAUUUUUAAAAUUUAAUUUAAUAUAUAUAUAUAUAUAUAUAUAUAAUAAUUAUAGUUUUUUAGGGGUAUAAAAUUGUUAAAUUAAUAUAUAUAUAUAUAUAUAAUUAUUAUAGUAUUUUUUUAGGGUUAUAAAAUUAUAAAAUUUAAAUAUUUUGCUUAUUGUGUAUCGUGUUACCCACGUGUAUACCCGAACCAACCCGUCAUCUUAACAGGUGCUUAUCGGGUUACCCGAUAACGAUCCGAAUCAUUAUAGUGUCGACCCGAACACCUGUUAAUUUCGUAUCGUGUCGGGUUAUCGAGUCGUGUCAGGAAUUGCUAAGCCUAGCGUUAAGAUGACAUCAUGUUACCAUUGGAUUGGAUUGCGCCUACCCAAAUCUGGCUGGCUUUCUUUGGCCAACCUGCAAUCCUUGUGGCUGAUUUAUGGUCCAGUGGGUCCUGCAAGCCUUUUGGCCCAACCUUCGGUUAGAGACGAAUUUUGUGUCAAACGGGCUACGUUUUGGCCUAUAUCCCUAUAAAUAAAUGUGAAAAAUAAAUUAAAACAAAAUCAACCCAUAUCAAGCCCUAACAUAUCUACGCCCACCACUUUCUCGUGGCUUCUUCACAAUGUUGGUGAAUCUUUUGUGCCGAUAUCUCUUCUCCGUCUCUUCCUCAUUCAGGCCAUUGCAAUUAGUUGCAAUGUUGAAUACACAAAUUUGGUGGAAUGAAAUCCAAAUGAUUAAAAAAAGUUCAGGCCUUUUUAUUUCAUAAAUGGGUUGAGUAUGAGUCCCACAUUGAUGUGAUGAUAGACUUUGCAUGAGCUUAUAAGUAAGUUUGGCUACUGCUCAUAUUGUCAAUUGGUUUUAUGGUGGAACCUCAACUUUUUUCAUAGUAUCAGAGCAGGUUAUCCCACGUGUGAAGCCAAAUGCCCACACGCGCUGCACGUCAUCCUGUUGUGUUGUCCACGUGUUAGACUUGAAAAUUCGCCACACGUGAGGAGGCGCGUUGAGAAUGAGUCCCACAUUGAUGGGAUGAAGAACCUUGCAUGGACUUAUAAGUAGGUUAGACUACUUCUCAUAUUGUCAAUUGGUUUUAUAGUGGAACCUUAACUUUUUUCAGAAUGAAAUAGCCCUUCUACUUCAUGAAUUGGCAUUUGGUGGAAUGGAAUGCAGAUAUGAGGCUUACAAAAUUUCCCUGUCGUACAAAACCGACGACACGAGGAACCACGAUCGCCAGUCUGAAGGAGAAGGGGUGGCGAAGGCGUCAAAAAGACAGCGUUGAGUUAAGAGGGAGCCUUCAUGUCCUAUGAACUUUGUUCGAAGUCAAAGAUUGUGGAAGGCAAUUGUGGCUGCCAUGGAAGGCGGUGAGAAGCAAAAUGUGGUGUCGUUUAAUUUGAAGUUGCCAUGUGGUUUUAUAAAACUUUAAAACACUUCCAUUUUUUAAUCAAAUUUAUAUCCCACUUUAAGACUUAAUUUCUUGCAUGACUCGAGGAAUCCAUAUUUCAUACAACCCCCUUCGUUUACAUACAUUGUCUUCCCCGCCUACUAUACUACUUCAUUAAUAUUUGGGUAAAUUACAGUUUACCACCUCAGGUUUGAAGUCGAUUGCAACUUCAUACAAUAUCUUUAAAACAUUUUAUUUUCAUACCUCAAUUACUAUUAUAUUUCAAUAUAAUGCAUCUGUUACAUUUUCCAUCCAUUGAUCCAUUAAGAGCUGAUGUGGUUGCCAUAUUUGUGUCACAUGGCUGCCAAAUUUGUAACACAUGCCAAAAAAAAUAAUUUUUUAUUCAUUUCAAAUAUUAUAAUAAUUUACCCAAUUAAAAAAUAAAUAAACUGCAAACCCAGAAACCCUUCUUCCCUUGACCCACCUCCCUCUCCUCCAUUCUCUUCCGGUGCGCUGUCCAGCAACGUCUCCCCCUGCGGCAACCGGUACUAACAUGAUAGCCAGGACCACAUUCCGCCUUACGAACGGGUGGCAGUGCUCCAAAUUGGCGAGAAUUGAGGGGAUAAGUAGCUCGAUGAUCUCGAACUCAUUCAAGCGGCAGAGAAACCAGAGGUUGUUGCAGAGGUUCUGGCAGAUGAGGAUCAUCUCCGAUAGGACCUUCCCCUUGGAGUUAGUCUUGUCAAUGAUCUCGAGGUAGAGGAGGAGGAGCUUCUGGACAGUGUGGUCCUCGGAGGGGAGAACGUAAUGGAUGAUGGUGAUGAAGAUGUGAGGGAUGGUGUCGCCGUUGAGGAAGAGCAUGAUGGCCUGGGAUAAAGAGGUGGGUGAUGAUCUCGGCGGAUCCGAAACGGGGAAAGUGGGAUCUGAAUUGGAGACAUGUGGAGGAUGAGGAGAUUUGGGCGUUUGUUUGGAUGAGAUGGGGUGGGUUUUUGGAUGGGACGAGAGGUGAAGAGAAUGGAGGUGAGGGAGGUGAGGUGGGGUGGGGGAUUGUGGGGAAGGUGGAGGUGGGGUGGGAUGGGGUGUUUAGGUUGCAGGGAAUGGGGAGGGCUCGGGGGAGGAAGGGUUUUUGGGUUUUUAGUUUUUAUUUUUUAUUUUUUAAUUGGGUAAAUUAUUAUAAUAUUUUUUAUGAAUAAAAAAUUAUUAUUUUUGCCACGUGCCAUAAAUGUGGCAGCCACGUUAACUCUUAACAGAUCAAUGGAUGGAAAAUGUAACAGAUGUAUUAUAUUGAAAUAAAAUAGUACUUGAGGUAUGAAAAUAAAAUGUUUUAAAGAUAUUGUAUAAGAUUACAAUAGACCCCAAACCUAAGGUGGUAAAGUGUAAUUUACCCUUAACAUUUUUAUCCCAACCAAGGUCUAAAAUGUCAAUAUUAUUGGCGAUUCGUUUUUGUGAGAGAGCGAUUUUUGACACUUAUCCACCUAAUUAUCGUCAAAAUAUCGUGAUAUUAUCGAUAAUAUCGCUCCACCUUCCUAACAGGCCUAAGGCCCGAGGGUUAUGGGAAACGGCCUGAAAGGCCUGCGCUCGUCAUGAACCAACAUGGAAGAACAGAGAAGAACGCCGGAGCUUCUACAGCUCCAGUCGACUGCAAACUACCACCUUAGACCCCGAUCUAGGUACCAAACGAAAGCACAAGGCAAGAUGAGUGCAUUUAUACCUUCUGUUUGUCAUGAAACGACCUGUGGUGGUCGGAAAACCUCUCGACACCCACGGCCUUGCCGGAGAUGGGUGUGCCUAUUCCCAAGCCGAUUUCGUCCUAAAAACCUAACCGGAGAAAUUCAAGAAACUCAUCGGAGGGUUUCUGCGUUCAUCGAGUUGUAGAGACGAGAAUGAGAGGGAGAAAUACGAGGUUGCUGAUGACGAUGGGUGUCUUCCUCGAGCAGGUACGAUGGUGUGCGUGUGUGUAUAUGGGUCUCGGUGCAGAAAGAAAGGAGAGAGAUGAGAGUUUUGAGAGAGAGAGAGAUAGAGAAUGCAAAAAAGAAAGAAGAAGAAAGAAGGGGUUACAAAAAGAUAAGAAUAAGGAUUGUUGGGGUGCUGCCACGUGGCAGUUUGAGAGAGAAGAGAAUCUUAAGUGUAGAUCCGGAUUGGGUAAAGGAAAUUAGGACUAAAUUGAUAGAUUCCAUAAAUAUUUGGGGAAAUACGGGCAAUUUGAGAGAAAAUAGAAUCUUAAGUUUAUGACUAACUAUGCACAUGGGUAAACUAUCAUUUAACCCCUAAACUAUUGCUGAUAACUAAUUCAUUAUAUAUAAAUGAUUAUGGUGUGUUUAAACAUCUUUCAUUAAUUACUACAUAUUUUCUACACUCACAAUGUUUGCCAGCUCGCUAUAUAAUCAACUUAAAUCAGAUAAAUCCAUAAUGCAAUGCAUUUCCUUCCAAUUUUUUGUGAUAAACUAAUAGAUAAUUGACUAAAUAAACAUCCUGCAAAGUUUCAAAAAUUUCCAAGUUUUUCUUACAAUUUUCGUCGUUUUUAUUUAAUUUUUAUCGAUAUCGAUAAUAUCCCGAUAUUUCUAUCGAAAUUUCCGUGUUUUUAGAUUACCGAUAUUUCCGAUAUCAUCGAUAUUUUAUACAUUGAUCCAAACUCAUGGUUUUUUAAGAAAAAACCCAACUCAUGUUUUGUUGUUCCUCGUUUUUUUAGCAAUUAUUUUAUGUGUACUAAAUCCUUUGAGAAAUUCAAUGUAUCCAGAACACCAAAACGCAUUUUUUAUAUACUUUUUAUGAAUUAAGAUUUAUCCUUGAAUAAUGAUGACUGUCCUUGUUAAUCUUACUUGUAGUUCCCUUUUGAUUUAAUUUAAGGCUCCAUGACCCUGACCUUUCAUGUUAACAAAUAAAAAAAGAAGAAGAAAAACUAGUGUGACGAGAUCAAUUUAAGAAUCUUUUAAAGAGAAGGGGGAGAGAGAGAGCAGCCACUUCUCAUUUUUUAAAGGGGAAAUUUUAUUUGAACCUAUAUUUUGUAUCUCAACACCCAAUUUACUUUUUAUGCCCAUAUUGUAUUUGAUUUAUCUAUCAUUAUCUCUUUACACCCAAUGUUAUUUCUGAAACCGUCCUUACUUAUCAAAACUCAACUCAAUCAAACUUCUUUUUACACCAAACUCAAUCUACUUAAAUAUAAAAAAUAAAACCCCAAUCAGUCCAUCAUCUCCAUGGAGCAAAGCCCUUUGUCUCUCUCUUUAAAAAAUCCUUCCAUCUCCCAUGGUUGUCAUUUUGCACCCCCAUCUACUCCUCCAUAGUCAUCCAAACCUCUUCCUCUUCAUUUUCUUCAUCAUUUAACAUCUCUAAAUUUCUGGAGCACUAAUUAGCUUAAUAAUUGGUUUGUGUUCAAUCGAUUGGUUCAAUUUUUAUGUAUUGAUUCCUUUUUCUUUUCAACUAAAUGAGCUUCUGGUUAGUGUUUAAUGAGUUUUGUAUGUUUCAAUUAAAUGAGAAUCUUCUAGACUCUAUAUUCCUAUUUGUGGUAGAAAAAUGGGUAUGUCCAUGAUAACUUUUGGUAGAUCAAUGAAUAUUUUUAACCGUGGAUAUUUAUUUUAUUUUGUUUUUGUCGAAACCGUGGAUAUUUAUUAGAUACAAAAGUUGUGGACAACAAUUCACAUUACAUUGAAUUGUGGCUAAAAAGUAUAUCGUCUUUGUACGUUUUAAAGGCGAACUCAUAGCUAAGCAGUUUUUAUUGUGGAGCAAAACUUCGAGAAUUGAUCUAACCUGGAUGUGUAAUUGAGUUUAUGCAUUUUAAUAAUUAAAUUGAUAAAUAUUUCAACUACAUAUGGAUUUAAUAUCGUAGUAUCUUUUAGCCUCUAUAUGCCACACUAGUUGCGGACAAAAAUUCACAAUACAUAGAAUUGUGGUAAAAAAAAGUAUAUCGCAUUUGCAUGUUUUAUAGGUGAACUCAUAGGUAAGUAGUUUUUAUUGUUGACCAAAACUUUGGGAAUUGAUCUAACUUGAAUGUAUAAUUGAGUUUAUGCAUUUUAAUGAUUAAAUUCAUAAAUAUCUCUAUCGCAUAUGAAUUUAAUAUCGUAGUGUCUUUUAGCCUCUACAUUGGUAUAUGUGGCAAAAAAAUGGGUACCUCCAUGAGAAACUUUUGUAGAUCGAUGAAUAUUUUCAAUCUGAAUAUUUAUUAGAUACUAGAAAUUAUAAGUCUAUUUGCGAAAGUCUAAGUCAAUGCCAGGUAGAAUAUUUGUUAAGAUAUAUUUAGAGAACUGUUAUUAGCACUCCAAAAAUCUCAUUCUACACUUUGUACAAGUGUAUUUUUCUUUCUAAUUAUAGAAAGUUAGGAGUGCCAAAUUCGAUUUUUGGAGUGCUAUAGCAAUUUUCUAUAUUUAUAUACAUUUUAUUUUAGUUUGGAAAUCGAUUUCCUUUUUUUUCUUUCUUUAUCAAGUUGGGAGUAUCACUGACUGUGACCCUGUGCAACUAGUUGUUGAUUUGUUUUGAAUAAUCAACAUUAUUUCUUACAAUAUCUUGGGCGUAUGAAUAACAGAAAGAAAACGGUCAUAAUACAAGCUAAAUAAGAGUAGUACUAAUUAGUAAACUACUUGUGCAUGAUGUUUGCUUAUAACCAAGUGGCAUGAAGGGACAAAUGUGUAUGUUUCAUGCAUGACUUGAAAUAGUAUUAGUAAAGUCACACAAGCCAACCAACUUGUUGGCAAGUGACCCUUUACCACAGUGGUGAAAAAGUGUUGUGCUUUUGCAUGACAACGUGAGUUCGAAUUUUGUUGGUAACUGAUCUAACAUCUAACUUACUAAUGCUAUCACUCAACUAAAAAAAAAUAUAUAUAUAUAUUCGAAAUGUAUGUAGUGGAUAAACACAAUCUCAAAAUUUAAUUAAACUCACAUAACAAUGAUAAAUAAAGGCAUUAUCAAAACUUAAGGGUGGUGAGCAAUCCCAUUAAAAUAGAACUUAAUAUAUACAUGUUAAAAACAAAAACAAAUUGAUGCAAAGUCUCCCGACGACUAAUAUUAUUCCAAGUCAUGCAUGAAACAUACACAUUUGUCCCUUCAUGCUCCUUAGUUAUUAGCAAACAUCAUGCAUUUACUAAUACUAUUCCAAAUCAUGCAUGAAACCUACAUAUUUGUCACUUCAUAUAAGCAAACAUCAUGCAUUUACUAAUACUAUUCCAGUCAUGCAUGAAACCUACACAUUUGUACCUUCAUGCCACUUGGUUAUAAGCAAACAUCAUGCACAAGCUGUUUACUAAUUAGUAUUACUACUAUUCAACUUGUAUCAUGACUAUUUUCUUUCUGUAAUUCAUACGUCCAAUACAUUGUAAGAAAUAAUAUUGAUUAUUCAAAACGAAUCAACAACUAGUUGCACAUGAUCACAAUCAGUGAUACUCCCAUCUUGAUAAAGAAAGAAAAAAAAAAGGAAGUCGACUUCCAAACUAAAAUAAAAUGUAUAUAAAUAUAUAAAAUUGUUAUUAGCACUCCAAACUUUCUAUAGUUAGAAAGAAAAAUACAUUUGUGCAGGUGUAGAAUGAGAUUUUUGGAGUGCUAAUAACAGUUUCCUAAAUACGUCUUAACAAAUAUUGUACAUGACAUUGACUUAGACUUUCACAAAUAGACUUAUAAUUUCUGGUAUCUAAUAAAUAUCCAAAUUGAAAAUAUUCAUCGAUCUACAAAAUUUUCUCAUGGAGGUACCCAUUUUUUUGCCACAUAUACCAAUACAGAGGCUAAAAGACAAUACGAUAUUAAAUUCAUAUGUGGUCAAGAUAUUUAUGAAUUUAAUCAUUAAAAUGCAUAAACUCAAUUAUACAUUCAAAAUUUCCCGAAGUUUUGGUCAACAAUAAACUGCUUACCUAUGAGUUCACCUAUAAAACGUGUAAAGACGAUAUACUUUUUAACCACAAUUCUAUGUAUUGUGAAUUUUUGUUUGCAACUUUUGUGGCAUAUAGAGGCUAAAAGAUACUACGAUAUUAAAUCCAUAUAUGGUCGAAAUAUUUAUCAGUUUAAUUAUUAAAAUGCAUAAACUCAAUUACUCAUCCAGGUUAGGUCAAUUCUCGAAGUUUUGCUCCACAAUAAAACUGCUUAGCUAUGAGUUCGCCUAUAAAAUGUGCAAAGACGAUAUACUUUUUAGCCACAGUUCAAUGUAAUGUGAAUUGUUGUCCGCAACUUUUGUAUCUAAUAAAUAUCCACGGUUUAAAAUAUUCAUUGAUCUAUCAAAAUUUAUCAUGGACAUACCCAUUUUUCUACCACAAAUAGGAAUAUAGAGGCUAGAAGAUUCUCAUUUAAUUGAAACAUACUAAACUCAUUAAACACUCUAACCAGAAGCUCAUACCGAUUAUUAAGCUAAUUAGUGAUCUAGAAAUUUAGAGAUGUCAAAUGAAGAAAAGGAAGAGGAAGAGGUUUGGAUGACUACGGAGGAGUAGAUGAUGACAACCAUGGGAGAUGGAAUGAUUUUUUAAAGAGAGAGAGAAGGGGAUUUGCUCCAUGGAGAUGAUGGACUGGUUAUAGUUUUAUUUUGUAUUUUAAAGUAGAUUGAGUUGGGUGUAAAAAGAAGUUUGAUUGAGUUGAGUUUUGAUAAGUAAGGACGGUUUCGUAAAUAAUGUUGGGUGUAAGUAGAUAAUGAUAGAUAAAUCAAAUACAAUGUGGAUAUAAAAAGAAGCCAAGUGUUAAGAUACAAAAUCUAAGUUCAAAUAAAAUUUCCUUUUUCAAAACCGCUCCCAAAAAAAAUGAUGAAUAAGCAUCAGCAACACUACCCACCACCUUCAUUUCCAAAGCAAUUCCUCAAUGCCCAAAUCCACCUCCAUAAAAUCGUCUCAAGUUUUCUAAUCUUUGCUUUCGGUUUAGCACUAGGCGCUUCCCUCAGCAUCCACCUCAAAGAUUUCCCCUUCCAACUUUAUUCAACACAAAACAAAUACUCUCAUUUGGCAACAAAUAAUCUAACAUUUUCUUCUCCACCACCUCCACAAUCUCUCAAUAUCCCAACAAAUAAUCUAACAUCUUCUUCUCCACCACCACCACAAUCUCUCAAUAUCCCAACAAAUCAAACAAAAGCCAAUACCUCCGCCGCCAG
rnacentral:lncRNA from 1 species